rnacentral:rRNA from 1 species
CCUACGGGAGGCAGCAGUGGGGAAUAUUGGACAAUGGACGAAAGUCUGAAGCAGCGAAGCAGCGUGAGGGAAGAAUGACCUAGGUGUGGUAAGCUUCUUUUAUAGGGGAGUAAAACGAGGCACGUGUGCCUUUUUGCAUGGACUUUAUGAUUAAGGCUCGGCUAACUCCGUGCCAGCAGCCGCGGUAAUACGGAGGAUCCGAGCGUUAUCCGGAUUUAUUGGGUGUAACGGGAGCGUAGAUGGGUCGUUAAGUCCGUUGUGAAAGUUUGCGGCUCAACCGUAGAAGUGCACUUGAUAAUGGGGGUCUUGAGUACAGGAGAGGCAGGCGGAAUGCGUGGUGUAGCGGUGAAAUGCGUAGAUAUUAGGAAGAACACCGACGGCGAAGGCAGCUUACUAGACUGUAACUGACAUUGAGGCUCGAAAGUGUGGAUAUCAAACAGGAUUAGAUACCCUAGUAGUC